CCUACGUGCGGCAGCAGUGAGGAAUUUUGCGCAAUGGGGGAAACCCUGACGCAGCAACGCCGCGUGGGCGAUGAAGGCCUUCGGGUCGUAAAGCCCUGUCGGGCGGGAAGAACGCUCUUGGUCGAAGGACUGGGGGGUGACGGUACCGCCAGAGGAAGCACCGGCUAACUCCGUGCCAGCAGCCGCGGUGAUACGGAGGGGGCAAGCGUUAUUCGGAAUUACUGGGCGUAAAGGGCGUGCAGGCGGGAGAGCAAGUCUGAUGUGAAAGCCCGGGGCUUAACCCCGGAAGGGCAUGGG
rnacentral:rRNA from 1 species